GUGAAUCAUCGAAUUUUUGAACGCAAAUUGCACUCUCCUCGUUUCCUGGAGAUUAUUCCUGGUUGAGGUUCAGCCUAAAAAAAAUCGACAUUUUUGCUGGUUUCGUUUGUCUUUCGUCGGAUAUUGUUUAUCUUAAAUCUCUUUUUAAGCGACUUAAAAAUUUUUUUUACGAUUCUAAGAAUGUUUCUAAUUUUUUUCUUACACGUUUAAGGUAUCGAAUGUCUUAUUAGACGUUGCCGUCAUAUCAUAUCGUGUCCAUAAUUUUUUUCGUUAACUUACCUCAGGCAGGUAAUAGUACCC
rnacentral:misc_RNA from 1 species